rnacentral:tRNA from 1 species
GGUCCCGUAGCUCAGUUGGAUAGAGCACAAGUUUCCUAAACUUGGGGCCACUGGUUCGAAUCCAGUCGGGAUCACCA